rnacentral:rRNA from 1 species
GGACGAACGCUGGCGGCGUGCCUAAUACAUGCAAGUCGAGCGRAGUUACAGGAGCUUGCUCCUGUAACUUAGCGGCGGACGGGUGAGUAACACGUGGGCAACCUGCCUAUAAGACUGGGAUAACUUCGGGAAACCGRAGCUAAUACCGGAUAAUUCUUUUYCUCUCAUGAGGAAARGCUGAAAGACGGUUUCGGCUGUCACUUAUAGAUGGGCCCGCGGCGCAUUAGCUAGUUGGUGAGGUAACGGCUCACCAAGGCAACGAUGCGUAGCCGACCUGAGAGGGUGAUCGGCCACACUGGGACUGAGACACGGCCCAGACUCCUACGGGAGGCAGCAGUAGGGAAUCUUCCGCAAUGGACGAAAGUCUGACGGAGCAACGCCGCGUGAGUGAUGAAGGUUUUCGGAUCGUAAAACUCUGUUGUUAGGGAAGAACAAGUASGAGAGUAACUGCUYSUACCUUGACGGUACCUAACCAGAAAGCCACGGCUAACUACGU